rnacentral:rRNA from 1 species
AUACGGAGGGUGCGAGCGUUAAUCGGAAUUACUGGGCGUAAAGGGUGCGUAGGUGGUUAGAUAAGUUAGCUGUGAAAUCCCCGGGCUUAACCUGGGCAGGUCAGCUAAGACUGUUUGACUCGAGUAUGGGAGAGGGUAGUGGAAUUUCCGGUGUAGCGGUGAAAUGCGUAGAGAUCGGAAGGAACACCAGUGGCGAAGGCGGCUACCUGGCCUAAUACUGACACUGAGGCACGAAAGCGUGGGGAGC